AAAAAAACAAAUCCUGGGUUUCCGUGUCCAACUUUGACUGUCCGUUUUAUAUGAAGUUUUUUUAUAAUUCGUAUUUUCGUUGUUGUUAUAUGAUAAAACAUGAUUAAUAUUUUAUGCGUGACUUAUCUUUU
rnacentral:pre_miRNA from 1 species